rfam:Brachypodium distachyon strain Bd21 chromosome 1, whole genome shotgun sequence.
GAGCAGAUGAUGCGAAACAUUUAGAUCACUGAGGCCUUCUGGGUUUCUGAUGUCUGAAAAAUCGAGCUUUUUAAGACUGAUGCUUA